GACGAACGCUGGCGGCGUGCUUAACACAUGCAAGUCGAACGGUGAAGCUCCAGCUUGCUGGAGUGGAUCAGUGGCGAACGGGUGAGUAACACGUGAGCAACCUGCCCCUGACUCUGGAAUAAGCGCUGGAAACGGCGUCUAAUACUGGAUACGAGAAGGGUCCGCAUGGGCACUUUCUGGAAAGUUUUUCGGUUGGGGAUGGGCUCGCGGCCUAUCAGCUUGUUGGUGAGGUAAUGGCUCACCAAGGCGACGACGGGUAGCCGGCCUGAGAGGGCGACCGGCCACACUGGGACUGAGACACGGCCCAGACUCCUACGGGAGGCAGCAGUGGGGAAUAUUGCACAAUGGGCGAAAGCCUGAUGCAGCGACGCCGCGUGAGGGAUGACGGCCUUCGGGUUGUAAACCUCUUUCAGCAGGGAAGAAGCGAAAGUGACGGUACCUGCAGAAGAGGCACCGGCUAACUACG
rnacentral:rRNA from 1 species